rnacentral:misc_RNA from 1 species
AUCAAUCUCAAGAGUAACAGGUAAUUAAAGACAAGUGAACUGGAAUUGAAUACUUUGAUUGCUUAAAAAAAAAGUACAAAACUUGAAAUUAAUGCAUGAGCUUUGAAAAAGUAAAAGACUAAUAAAAUAAAAAUAAAAGACUACUGGAAUCUAGUUGAGUUGUUAUUGUUUGAUAUUGUUGGGGGCUUUCACGUUGUAGUGUAUUUGACUUUCAUAUUUCUGCCUACAGGUAUCUGGGAGGCCUCUUG